ensembl:lncRNA
AUGACAAUUGAUGUAAAUGAAGUGGAGCAGUCGCUAUCAGGAGACAACCCGUCCCCAACAUGGCCGUGUGAGGUUCAUGGCAGCGCACAAAUUGAAGACAAGUUAAAUUUUUUUAACAAAGCCAUGCUGAAAAUGAGACUGGAGGAGGAAAGGACGAUACUUGAUCAGGAGAUGGCCCAGCACUGCUUAUGGUUGCAGAAGUUGCAGGCAACUCUUAAAAGAAAAACUUCAGAGGAAGAAAUGCGAAACAAGGGCCUUUCCUGUCUCUGCAGAAGACGAUUGUCUGAAGUUUCGGAUAUGUUGAAAGACGUGCUCCUUCAGUACAAGGCCGUUUUAGGCCCUCAGGGCUCUGCUUUAGAACUGGAAGAUGAGAAUGAAAGUGAUUUCAGCAGUCCAGACACCAGUGAUAAUGAAGAGGAGGAAUGCAGGAAAGAGCUACCAGGCAGGUGUCUGUAAUUGCUUGAUUGCGGCCAGGGCAGAGUAAAAGGACUUCAUGGCUGCAAUUCCGGGUUCCUGUAUCACAUUGUUUUGCUUUUUUCAUCUCACAUAUUUACUGUAAUAAAUAACUUUAUUUUUUGCAUCUUCAUCCACGUGUGGUCUCACAUUUCAUGUUGCAACAAAAGAAAUCUACAUUUUUCCAGCCUUAUGCUCCGCCUCCUGACAACACACAAGCAGCUGGAGGUCUAAAAUUUAUAUAAACAGGUGUAUCAUUCUCAGUAUCAAAAUAUGUGCCACAUGAUGACAUUUAAUGAAAUAAUGGUUGUAACACUUACCUAGGCCUGUCUGGCCAAUAUGGGUGUCUGAAAUGUAGUUUAAGUAUAUCCGGUGCAUCAAGUCAGUGUCAAGUCGGGUCAGUGAAAUUGGGUUUAUCUGAGCAAAAAAACGCCUCUUUUUAUACUAAUCAAUCAUUUUAAUGGUUUGUGUAUGAUUUCAGACCUUUUCUUUAUCAACAUAUGUCAGCUCUCUGAACGGUAGUUUUUGAAGAUUUGUUGUGCCUCAAAAGUCCCACAGCACCUAAGAUAAGCAUAAUUAGGUUUGUUUCACCACAGCACACCUCUGUGUAUCACAAUCAAUCAAAAUAUAGACUUUUUAAUGAUUUUUGUAUGAUUUCAGAACUUUUGUUGACCAACAUGUAAAACAUAUGCUCUCUGAAUGGUAGUUUUAGAAGUUUUUUUGUGGAUUAAAUGCGCAUAAAACAUACAUCAAAUGUGUAUGCUAAUACAGAGCAGCACUACAGGCAUGCAUGAGAUUGAUGAAUUGGACAGUCAGUUCAUCAAUAUAGAAUAUGGGGCUAUGUAUGCAGUAUGAUGCACCGUAGUAAGCAGGAAGCUAGAACGUCUUAUUUCAUAUGAAUAGACAUGACUGGCUUUUAGAAUAUGGGUUACAGUUUACAUAGCCCCAUAUUGUAGCAGGUUACAGGUGGUACAUAUUGGCCUAUUUACCAUCGAGGGACAGCUGAUUCCAUCACCAAAACCAUAUAUUUUUAAAAAAGCCUGUAGCCUGUAAAUGUUCUGUCAAUGGUUGGAGAUUUGUUUUUUUGGUGUUUAAACUCUGUUUAGAGGUCAGUAAAACCUAUA